rnacentral:lncRNA from 1 species
CAGCCUGUGGCCCGUGAGCAGCUGCACUUGGGGGCUGGGGCCAUUCCAGGGCACCCGGAUCCGGUGACUGCAUAUGAGGCUCCUGAAUCUCAUGUUUUCCUAAACUUUCCAAAAUCAACAACAGGUGCCUGCCAGAAGGACGUUACUCGAAUGAACAGACUACUGUUGGUGAGCAAAUACAAAAGCAUGUUUUUUGUGUUAUUCCAAUGGCAUGACGCAGAGUCUUGAAUACGGAGAAGUAAAGUGCUCCGGAGGGGCAGUGUGGCGGGGGCCGAGCCUCCUCGCCUGCCCUCCAUGAGCUGUGCUGAACAAGUGGGGUGACCUCCCACCCUCCUGCAGGACCAUGUUCUCUCCCUGGCUGGUCUCCUGGGCUCCAGCCUUUGGGCAGGGCUAGCCUCGGCCCUCACCCCUGGGUGACUAUGUUGCCGGCUUUGGCCCUCACUAUCUCUACACAGACCUUGCCCAUCACACCCUGGAGGGCAGCAGCUUCACCCUUUACCGUUUGAAUAAGGCCUCACUCAAGUGGCUGGACAGUAAGAGGCUCUCAGGGUCAGACCUGUGCAAAGGUGUCCUCACUGGAACUCUGCUUCCUGUGAAAGCAGCCCCCUGGGAGCUGGAGAAAAGUGGCCAAUGUGGGAAGAUACCGGAUGCCAGGGCCAGGACUGACCCUGGGCUCAAUUUUAAAUUUUGAUAUUCACCUGUCUGUCACCUCCAUGGUUUUGGUCCUUCUGGUUGGAGACGUCCUUGGUGAAGGAACUGGAACAUUCACCUGGCAGAGGCUGGUGUGGCUGGAGCAUCCCAUGCUGUGUGGAUUUCAUCAGAUCACAUGGAUGCACGUGCACACAACAUUUUGC